CAACAACUGGACUUGUUUCACUUCACCCCAGCACAAACCAUCCUUUGGAAACAGAUGAGGUUCCAUGGUUCAUCAGGACUCUGAUUCCUAAUUGGCUGCGGGAUUGCCUAUAACACUCAAUAACCUGAUUCACAGCAAUAGGAAUGGUUGAAUCUACAUAAUAAAGCAAGUGUGAUGAAAGAUGCUGUUGCACUUCGUAACAAUAAUCAUAUGUUUGUAGUGUCAGGACCAGAAUUUGCCUGUGCCCCUUUGCUGCAAGUGGUGCUCUGGCCACGAAGCCCUGAGGGUGGCCCACCGAUGGCGUUCACAGUGGCAGUGGGUAGGAACCGAGAAACUGCUUCCUGUUCAGAGCCAGGAUUUGCCAGCAGGUCAAGGCUCUGGUGCCCCCAGCACUGCUCCUCCCCAGGGGUGCCCGGCACUCUGACGGCAGCCUCGGGAGCCAGACUUUGCAGCCUGCCGCCUGGGAGAGCUGCCAGUUGAACCUUCACUGUAGAGUAAAAUCAGGUACAAUUG
rnacentral:lncRNA from 1 species